AUGAUUUGAAGCUGUAAUGCCAAACAGGACCUAAAUGAAAUGGCUUCUCUUCACAUAUUGAAAUCCACUCUCUCUCCAAUUUCCCUUUCAGGCCCGUAUUUUCCCGGGAAAUCCCAGGAAAGCAAUUCUCAGGUUGAGAAGUUUUAGUGCUGGGAGCUCUAAAAGAUGCUUCCAGAGACUGAAGUUUAGGGUUAACUGUUCAGUACAAGAAGGAGAUAAUAAUACCAAUGGUGAGGAACCACCGGAAUCGUUGUUCAUGAAGGAGCUGAAGAGGAGGGGAAUGACUCCGACUUCAUUGCUUGAGGACACCAAUAGAGGAAGCUAUGGAGUGGAGGAUGAGAUAAAGCUCGGAGAAGAGGAUAGAGGCUUUUCUAAAAGAAACGCUGUUUCAACUGAAUUUGGUCAAAGCCUUUCUAAUCAGAG
rnacentral:misc_RNA from 1 species